AGAGUUUGAUCCUGGCUCAGGACGAACGUUGGCGGCGUGCUUAACACAUGCAAGUCGAGCGGGGCUUAGUAAAGAGUUUACUUUUUACUUUGUCUAGCGGCGGACGGGUGAGUAACGCGUGGAUAAUCUGCCUGUAAGACAGGGAUAACGCCGGGAAACCGGUGCUAAUACCGGAUAACCUCUUUGGAUCGCAUGAUAUGAAGAGAAAAGGUGGCCUCUUUACAAUGCUACCACUUACAGAUGAAUCCGCGUCCCAUUAGCCAGUUGGUGGGGUAAAGGCCUACCAAAGCGACGAUGGGUAGCCGGCCUGAGAGGGUGACCGGCGACACUGGAACUGAGAUACGGUCCAGACUCCUACGGGAGGCAGCAGUGGGGAAUCUUCCGCAAUGGACGAAAGUCUGAUGGAGCAACGCCGCGUGUAUGAUGAAGGUCUUCGGAUUGUAAAGUACUGUCUUUGGGGAAGAAUGAUGUGCUUGAAAAUAUUGAGUGCAUAUGACGGUACCCAAGGAGGAAGCCCCGGCUAACUACGUGCCAGCAGCCGCGGUA
rnacentral:rRNA from 1 species